UGGUGCUUCGCUGACGAGUGGCGGACGGGUGAGUAAUGUCUGGGAAACUGGCUGAUGGAGGGGGAUAACUACUGGAAACGGUAGCUAAUACCGCAUAACGUCGCAAGACCAAAGAGGGGGACCUUAGGGCCUCUUGCCAUCGGAUGUGCCCAGAUGGGAUUAGCUAGUAGGUGGGGUAACGGCUCACCUAGGCGACGAUCCCUAGCUGGUCUGAGAGGAUGACCAGCCACACUGGAACUGAGACACGGUCCAGACUCCUACGGGAGGCAGCAGUGGGGAAUAUUGCACAAUGGGCGCAAGCCUGAUGCAGCCAUGCCGCGUGUAUGAAGAAGGCCUUCGGGUUGUAAAGUACUUUCAGCGGGGAGGAAGGGAGUAAAGUUAAUACCUUUGCUCAUUGACGUUACCCGCAGAAGAAGCACCGGCUAACUCCGUGCCAGCAGCCGCGGUAAUACGGAGGGUGCAAGCGUUAAUCGGAAUUACUGGGCGUAAAGCGCACGCAGGCGGUUUGUUAAGUCAGAUGUGAAAUCCCCGGGCUCAACCUGGGAACUGCAUCUGAUACUGGCAAGCUUGAGUCUCGUAGAGGGGGGUAGAAUUCCAGGUGUAGCGGUGAAAUGCGUAGAGAUCUGGAGGAAUACCGGUGGCGAAGGCGGCCCCCUGGACGAAGACUGACGCUCAGGUGCGAAAGCGUGGGGAGCAAACAGGAUUAGA
rnacentral:rRNA from 1 species